rnacentral:rRNA from 1 species
AAGCUGAGGCCGAAAGGCGUAGGUGAUGGACAACAGGUCGAUAUUCCUGUACUACCGAUAACCGAUUGUGAGAAGGGAUGCCACAGUAGGAUAAGCUAAGCACACUGAUGGUUAUGUGUGCCCAAGCAUUGAGGCAGUCAAAGUAGGCAAAUCCGCUUUGAUAAUGCUGGGAUGUGAUUGGGCGCGAAAUUUAGUAGCGAAGUAGCUGAUUUCACACUGUCAAGACAAGUCUCUAUCGAGGGUAAAGGUACCCGUACCGCAAACCGACACAGGGUGGUGAGGAGAGUAUCCUAAGGCCAGCGAGAGCACUGGUGUUAAGGAACUCGGCAAACUGACA